UGGGAAGAGUCUGUUGAGUGGCCGCGUAGGUUGUAAGCUAUCUCAUGUGAGCUCUUCUUU
rnacentral:pre_miRNA from 1 species